AUACGUAGGGGGCAAGCGUUAUCCGGAUUUACUGGGUGUAAAGGGAGCGUAGACGGCGAAGCAAGUCUGAAGUGAAAGGACGGGGCCCAACCCCGGAACUGCUUUGGAAACUGUUUGGCUGGAGUGCGGGAGGGGUAAGCGGAAUUCCUAGUGUAGCGGUGAAAUGCGUAGAUAUUAGGAGGAACACCAGUGGCGAAGGCGGCUUACUGGACACUAACUGACGCUGAGGCACGAAAGCAUGGGGAGCAAACAGGAUUAGAUACCCUGGUAGUCCAUGCCGUAAACGAUGAUUACUAGGUGUAGGGGGUAUCGACCCCUUCUGUGCCGGAGUUAACACAAUAAGUAAUCCACCUGGGGAGUACGGCCGCAAGGUUGAAACUCAAAGGAAUUGACGGGG
rnacentral:rRNA from 1 species